GAGCCGAGCGGCGAACGGUGAGUAACGCGUAAGCAAUCUGCCCCCACGAAUCGGGAACAACCGUGCCAACGCGCGGCUAAGUGCCGGAUAUUGUGUCCUACUGCAUAGUAGGUUAACGAAAGAUUUAUCGUUGUGGGAUGAGCUUGCGUCCGAUUAGCUAGUUGCGGGGUAAUAGCCCACCAAGGCGACGAUCGGUAGCCGGCCUGAGAGGGUGAUCGGCCACAUUGGGACUGAGAUACGGCCCAGACUCCUACGGGAGGCAGCAGUAGGGAAUAUUGCGCAAUGGGGGGAACCCUGACGCAAGCAACGCCACGUGUGGGAAGAAGCAUUUCGGUGUGUAAAACCACUGUCGGAAAGGAAUAACGGAAGACUUCGGUCUUUAUGAAUGUACUUUUAGAGGAAGCACCGGCAAACUUCGUGCCAGCCGCCGC
rnacentral:rRNA from 1 species